GCCAGCAUGGCAUAGUGGUUUGAGCACUGGACUGCAACUCUGGAGACCAGGGGUCAAUUCCCUGCUCAGCCU
rnacentral:tRNA from 1 species